UCAGCGAGAUGUCAGUGGGCAGUGGCUCAUAGACCAUGUGUGCAAACAUCUCAAUUUAGUUGAAAAGGACUAUUUUGGUUUAAGAUAUGUGGACACAGACAAGCAGAGGCAUUGGGUAGAUCCUCUCAAACCUGCAUACAAGCAACUUAAAAAUGUGAGUCCUCUGGUGCUGUGUUUUAGAGUGAAGUUCUACCCUGCAGAACCUCACAAACUUAAAGAGGAAAUUACAAGGUACGUAGGUGACAGUUCUUUU